rnacentral:rRNA from 1 species
GCGUGAAGGAAGAAGGCUUUCGGGUUGUAAACUUCUUUGACCAGGGACGAAACAAAUGACGGUACCUGGAAAACAAGCCACGGCUAACUACGUGCCAGCAGCCGCGGUAAUACGUAGGUGGCAAGCGUUGUCCGGAUUUACUGGGUGUAAAGGGCGCGUAGGCGGGACUGCAAGUCAGAUGUGAAAUCUGGGGGCUUAACCCUCAAACUGCAUUUGAAACUGUGGUUCUUGAGUGAUGGAGAGGCAGGCGGAAUUCCUAGUGUAGCGGUGAAAUGCGU